rnacentral:lncRNA from 1 species
ACCAAAACCAAAAACUACUUCUCUUCAAAUUCAGAUAGAAAUUCGAACAUCGAAUUUCAAUCUUAAAAAUAGAAGAUACAUUAAAGAAGCUAUAUAUUAGGUAAUGAUGCAGCAGCUAAGUACUAGUAGAACAUCUGGCGUUAGGACAUCAUUCAAUAGCUUAGUCGUAUUAGGAUCAGUAGUUAGUCGUAUUAGGAUUGCAUUUUCAGCACACAUUCAGUCUUUAUAAUUACAAGUUCAAAAUGUUUUCUGGAAACAAAAACUCUAUUUCUACGAAAGGCAUGUACACUGUUCAAAUCUUAGUCAUACAUAAUAUAUCCUCUCCAGUUUCCACCAAAUGCAAUUUCCCUUGCCAAUCAUGACACUUAAACACAUCUAAGAGAAGUCUGCUCCAAUCUACCAUCUCGACAAGGUCCAUGUCAUUGUUUCAACCAAGAAUCUGAAACAUAGGAUAUGGUAAAAAGUAUUAUUGGAGAAGCAACUCGUUACAAAUAACCACCAAAAAAAGUUUUUUAGUACAAAGCAAGACCUAUUAAGAUGAGGUGGUAUAGGCCUAAGGACAUUUCAGAGCCAAUGAGGCACUCUUUUAUAUUAAAUUCAAGACGACAUAGCAGUCUUUUUCUUAAAUUGCAAAUGUUUCAAUGAAUUAUCCUCUGUUGUGAAGAGAAAUAACGAGCAGUGUGCAUACAAAAACUGACUUACCUUGUAUUUUUCUGCUUUGUACAACCAGUCUCCUGAAAAAGAAAUAGGAAAAACAAAAUAAUGUCAAAAACUGUGAACAUAAUUUGGAGAAGCGUCUACUAUCAACGGAAUCCAAAAUGAAAUCUGUCUUGAAUCUAAGAAUCCUGUGUCAGCCGGAACAUACAUUUUGUCUUCGUAUCACAGCUUCAUCUUAUGAAUAGCUCAUGAACAGAAUUCGAUAGUGAGAGAAAGUAGCUUUUCAAGCAAAACUUGAACAGUAGCACUAAUUACAGGGUCGGCCAUUGUUGCAUUUGCUCCUUCAGACCUUCACAAUGUCUUCUUCUCAAAAGUGUCUUCUUUUACUAAAAGAAAGUGAAUAAUUUAUACACAAUGAAUUCAAACAAAGAAUAGCUUUUGUUCUGCCAUUGUUGCCUUUGCUUCGCAUUUUUUGUAUGAAACAGUAAUUUUGAAUAAUUUGGCAUAUACCGAUGAAAUGGACUAACUUUACAAAUCACAAGACGUAAGUGAGCAACAAAAACCAUUUAGAAGAAGCUUACAUGGAAUGCUUGGUCUGAUAAGCAGAGUAGAGAAACCUUCAACUUAAUGGACAGAUGCCACUCAAACUGGUCCUUCGCAACGGAUAUUGCUAUGAUAGCAUCCCUGUUAGUAGUACAAUAUUCUCAUGAGAAAUGGAGCUGAAAAACAAAACCAUAUGAAGUUGUUCUUGAACAUACAAUUUGCCUUUUGUACCGCAGAAACCUCCUAGCUGAAUCCAUGGAAACAGUCUAAAUGUAGCAUCAUCAGUAAGAAUUAUUUGAUCUGCCACACAUGAAUAGCUCAUAAACUGAUUUCAAUGGCACCAACCAUCCAUACCUUUCAUUAGCUUCACCAUAGCACCUGAAUAGAUAUGACAAAUACGGAGAUUCUUCUUCUUUCGUAUAGGUUGGGAAAGGGAAGGGGUCAGGCUUUAAUAUAACGAAAGAAAGGGGAAAAAUAGUCGGAGUUCAAAUAUAGUGAGAAUGCAAUACAUGACUUUCCUAUCAUCAUGUAAUGUUAUGGACUGAAACUAAUGUAGGCUCUAUCUAACAGCUUACUUCCUAAAUCUCCUUGCAACUAACAAACUGAUUUUCUUUCAAAACUGAUAUUUUAGCAGUUCGACAAUUUUACUUCUGAUUCUCCUUAUUGCAUCACUCAACUAUCUCAUUUUGCACUAGAAAUCAGCUCAAACAAAGGAGACCAGAAUUGAAGUUUGCAAGAAGCAUACAUAGAGCUCUUUGAACGAUAACGACAUGCGAUAGCUCAUUUUAUUUGAGAGAUUCUGUAGUCCUUACCAAAUAUUCAUGGAAGAGCCAGUAACAGGUCUAUAGCCGAAGAAUAUGUCCCGGAGAGACUGUUUACCACAGAAACCUUGUAGCAUAGCACUUGUUCUAGUCGC